UUGCAAAGCACUCUGAAAAGAGGGUGAAAAGAACCUGAAACCGUUAUGUUGAGAGCGUAUUGCAGCAGAGUGAAGGGUGCGUUUUGUUCAGCUUGCGUUUACGUAGGUGUACUCGGAACGUUAUCCGCCAGUCGUGAGCUUUUGGUGGCUGAUCUACAGUCGCUGGAGGUGGAGGGCUCCCCUUUACUGGGUGAGGACGAAUCUGGAUAAUGCUGUGAUUCGACCCGUCUUGAAACACGGACCAAGAAGUCUAGCGUGCAUGCGAGUCAAAGGGUGUGAAAACCUGAGGGCGCAGUGAAAGCGAAAUUAAAAACGUUGCAGUUUGAGGCGGCAUACGAUCGUUGAUUGUAGGUCUGACCUAGAGCACGUAUGCUAGGACCCGAAAGAUGGUGAACUAUGCUUGAGUAGGGUGAAGCCAGGAGAAAUCCUGGUGGAAGCUCGUAGCGGUGCUGACGUGCAAAUCGCUCGUCUAACUUGAGUAUAGGGGCGAAAGACUAAUCGAACCAUCUGGUAGCUGGUUUCCUCCGAAGUUUCUCUCAGGAUAGCGGACCGAUAUAGUGUUGUUGUGUGC
rnacentral:rRNA from 1 species